rnacentral:lncRNA from 1 species
CCAGGGGCAGGCAGCCAAAGAGAAGGUGCACUUUUGGGAGUGGAAACAGUGUGUCUCCAGAGGUGCACACGCACGGAGAAUGCACAAAGAAAGCAGCACGACCACCACCCUAGGGCAGCAGUAGCCUGGGCAGCGGCAGAUUCUCAUGCCACAGCAGCAAGAUCCCAAGACAAUGUAGGCAGCACCCACACUAAAAUCUCGAGGACCAGCUUGACACACAGAUGCCGUGUGGAGUCCUUUGAGAGAACUAGAAUGGUGCUGGCGUGGGGACCCAAGCUCAUGGCCAAUGAGGCAGGUGCCUGUAUUUGGCCUCCAGGCUUCUGUUCUCCUUGUGCUGGAGCAUCAAGGCCUUGUUGAGGUUCUUGACCACAGCAGACAUGUACCUGAUGGCCCGAACCUCCCCCUGGUUGAACAUCGUGGAGUCCAGGAGUUCCUGCAGCAUGGACUUCACCUCGGAGACCCUUAUGCAGCCUUGUUCCCCAGAACCUGCACGAGGCCGCAGCUCCAGGGACCACCAACGAGGACCUGUCUCCACAUCACACCUUCCUUCAGCCCUGAGGGACAGCCCAGAACUGCUCACUUCUCAGCUUGGGUCCACCACCCCAAACUCUUACCACUGACCAUCCAUCUCAGCUAAAGCUUUUGUUAUGGAGGAGAAUCAGAAAGACUCCCAUAGACCCUGGUGUGUGACUUCUUUCCUUGAGAUGGCAUCUGCCCCAGCUCCCCUGCCAGGUGCUCCUGGAACCUACUUUGUGCCCCUUUCCUUUGUCCUUCAAUGAGAGUGGAGCAGAGGGAAAUGAGAGACUCGAUGCCUCCUUUGGUGGCGAUGAGGGAGAGAGGUAACCCCUUCUCCAUCACCUCGAUCCAUUCAUCCAGGGCUUCCUCUUCCUCCUCACUCUUCCUGUUCCCGAUCUCAUAGGUCAGACUGUCACCUGGAGAGAGAGUGGGAGAUGCAGGCUGAGAACAGUCUGUCCUCUAGGGAGCCCCAAAUAGCCCUAUAGGAUAGGGGUUACACCAGCAGGCUUUGAGGUUGGAUUGGUUUAACCUCUUAUUAGCUGUAUGAUGUUGAGCAAGUCACUUAUUUCCCUAGCCUUAGUAUCCUUGCCAAAAAAGGGUUGGGUAUGGGUUAAAUAAUACUAGUGAAAUGAUUAACAUGAGACCUGCCAUGUAGAAAAUAUGCAUAGACAUAAAACAGCACUGUUGUACUACAAGGCCAGCAAUGUGCCUAUCUUGUUAUUGCUCUAUCCUCACUGCCUAGUCCAAUAUCUGGACAAUUAAAUGAAUUAACUGCAGUCAACAGCCCUGCUUAGUUCUUGGGGGCAGCUGAAGGACCACUGAACCGAGAGCUCCUCAGGGGCAGGGCAAUGUGAGUAGGGGUAGGGCAUAUCCGUAUACCACCUUCCUCCAACACUGCAGCAUCCGCCGUACCUCACACCAGACUGAGGUCUCCUGAUCGGAUAACUCUGGUCUUAACAGGGGUAGCAUCUGGCUCCAGGGCUGCAUGCAGCUGGUCCACACCCAAAUGGCUAUACCAGUUGCUUACAGCUGGCAUCAGUGCUGUUUGGCUCAGUAUCCAUUCAGUACUUUGAAUAUCACCCUUGAGUCCCUCUAUAAAAUAGCUAGUGUGCUUCACAAAAAACAAUUAGAACUAAUAAACAAAUUCAAUAAAGUUACAGGAUCCAAAAUCAACAUAUAAAAGUCAGUUGCAUUUCUACACACUAACAAUUAACUAUCCAAAAAAGAAAUAAAGAAAACAAUCCCAUUUACAAUAGCAUCAAAACAAUAAAAUACUUAGGAAUACAUUUAACAAAGGAGGUGAAGGAUCUCUACAGUGAAAACCAUAAGACAUGAAUGAAAGAAAUUAAAGAAGACACGUGUAAAUGAAAAGAUAACCCAUGUUCAUGGAUCA